UACGAAGGGGGCUAGCGUUGUUCGGAUUUACUGGGCAUAAAGCGCACGUAGGCGGAUUGGUCAGUUAGGGGUGAAAUCCUGGAGCUCAACUCCAGAACUGCCUUUAAUACUGCCAGUCUCGAGUCCGGAAGAGGUAAGUGGAACUCCUAGUGUAGAGGUGGAAUUCGUAGAUAUUAGGAAGAACACCAGUGGCGAAGGCGGCUUACUGGUCCGGUACUGACGCUGAGGUGCGAAAGCGUGGGGAGCAAACAGG
rnacentral:rRNA from 1 species